rnacentral:rRNA from 1 species
GUGGGGAAUAUUGGACAAUGGGCGAAAGCCUGAUCCAGCCAUGCCGCGUGUGUGAAGAAGGUCUUCGGAUUGUAAAGCACUUUAAGUUGGGAGGAGGUGCAGUAAGUUAAUACCUUGCUGUUUUGACGUUACCAACAGAAUAAGCACCGGCUAACUUCGUGCCAGCAGCCGCGGUAAUACGAAGGGUGCAAGCGUUAAUCGGAAUUACUGGGCGUAACGCGCGCGUAGGUGGUUCAGCAAGUUGAAGGUGAAAUCCCCGGGCUCAACCUGGGAACUGCCUCCAAAACUACUGAGCUAGAGUACGGUAGAGGGUAGUGGAAUUUCCUGUGUAGCGGUGAAAUGCGUAGAUAUAGGAAGGAACACCAGUGGCGAAGGCGACUACCUGGACUGAUACUGACACUGAGGUGCGAAAGCGUGGGGAGCAAACAGGAUUAGAUACCCCUGUAGUCC